rnacentral:misc_RNA from 1 species
CAAAACAUGGCCGCCGUCGGAGAAAGUCUGAUGCUCGAGAGAGACAUCAAGCGGGCCUGCGAGCUUCUCGAGAAACUUCAGCGCAGUGGCGAAGUCCCAGCGCAGAAGCUCGCUGCCCUACAAAAGGUUCUCCAGAGUGAAUUCUGCAACGCCGUGCGCGAGGUUUACGAACAUGUCUACGAAACUGUCGACAUCUCCGGUAGUCCCGACAUUCGAGCCAGUGCCACAGCCAAGGCAACAGUGGCAGCAUUUGCAGCGAGCGAAGGCCACGCGCACCCUCGGGUUGUGGAACUGCCCAAGACCGACGAGGGGCUUGGCUUCAACGUGAUGGGGGGCAAGGAACAGAAUUCGCCCAUCUACAUAUCGCGUAUCAUCCCAGGGGGUGUGGCUGACCGUCAUGGGGCCCUCAAGCGCGGUGAUCAGCUGCUCUCGGUCAACGGUGUGAGUGUGGAAGGCGAGAACCACGAGAAGGCAGUGGAGCUCCUGAAGGCAGCCCAGGGUACGGUCAAGCUCGUUGUUCGCUACACCCCCAAAGUACUGGAGGAGAUGGAGAUGCGGUUCGACAAGCAGCGUGCCACUCGCCGUCGGCUGCCAUGAAAUUAAUGAAGAGUUCUCUGGAAGGGAUUCUCCAAUCUGAGGAUUCGCCAAGACUAGGUAUCAAGAUGAUUGACCAUACGAAGCUUGCAGUUAAUGAAGAGGAGGAAGCCAUUGGGGGCAUUAUUUGUACUUAUUAAUUUAAGCGUGGCAACAAUGAAAUUAAAGGAAAAUGUGUUAACAUGAACGAAAAAGAAGAC